UAGGGAAUCUUCCGCAAUGGGCGAAAGCCUGACGGAGCAACGCCGCGUGAGCGAAGAAGGCCUUCGGGUCGUAAAGCUCUGUUGUCAGGGAAGAACAAGUACCGGAGUAACUGCCGGUACCUUGACGGUACCUGACCAGAAAGCCCCGGCUAACUACGUGCCAGCAGCCGCGGUAAUACGUAGGGGGCGAGCGUUGUCCGGAAUCAUUGGGCGUAAAGCGCGCGCAGGCGGUCCCUUAAGUCUGAUGUGAAAUCUUGCGGCUCAACCGCAAGAGGUCAUUGGAAACUGGGGGACUUGAGUGCAGGAGAGGGAAGCGGAAUUCCAUGUGUAGCGGUGAAAUGCGUAGAGAUAUGGAGGAACACCAGUGGCGAAGGCGGCUUCCUGGCCUGUAACUGACGCUCAGGCGCGAAAGCGUGGGGAGCAAACAGGAUUAGAUACCCUGGUAGUCCACGCCGUAAACGAUGAGUGCUAGGUGUUGGAGGGGUUUACCCUUCAGUGCUGGAGCUAACGCAUUAAGCACUCCGCCUGGGGAGUACGGCCGCAAGGCUGA
rnacentral:rRNA from 1 species